AUAUACAGGACACAUAAUUUAGGAUUAUUUUAUAAUAGUCACCCACAGAGUUUAGUACCAAAGAGUGUGGGAGAUCCGUCCACACUAAAGGUGCAAGGAAACCAGCUGAGGGCCUGGAUCCCACAGCCAUGUCCUGCAUGAGUUCAGCUGAAGACCUAGAGCCCAUGACAAUGCCCGUCCCCGCCCCAGAGUCCAGCUGGAAGCCUACAACCUGUGACAGUGUCCCCCCAGGAGCCCAACUGGAAGCCUAGAGCCCAUGACAAUGCCUCAUGUCGGUUUGUUCCAGGGAUCUGUGCUCGGAAGGCCCAACAGUCAGUGGUGGGAGCUAGAAAGUCUGUGCUAGUGGGAUGAAGGACCAGUGCCAGCAGGCUGAGGACCUGCCCUGGAGCCAGGAAGCGAUGCUUAAGGAUGUCUACUCCGGGUCGGUUACAAUUCUUACUCGCAAAGAACUGCGAGUCAGCACGCAGCGGCCUGGGAACCAACGCUGACGCCGCGCAGCGCCGUGGGUGUGAUCCACGGAACCGCGCGCGGCCCGCAGCGUGCACGGCAGGUGUGAUAUCUAGUGUACAACAGUUUUAACAUUUAGUGGUGUCGCAGUGCUUACUUCAGCAGCUCAUAUACAAAAAUUAAUAAUGUAACAUACUGAAAACAUUGUAUACUUAAAUAAAUUUUAUGCCACA